GGAGAAGUUUGGACAACUGAGUUUUUGUAGAGUCAUGUGUCAUUGUGUGACUACUGGUGCCAACAAUAAGCUGACGUUUGGGAAAGGAACGAUUCUGACUGUUACUCCAGAUAUACAGGACCCAAAGCCAGCUGUGUACCAGCUGAGAGACUCUAAGUUCAAGAACAGUAGCAUCUGCCUGUUCACCGACUUCAGCUCUCAAGUCAAUGUGACGAAGGGAGUGGCCCCUGACUUGUUCGUCUCCGACAAAACUGUGCUGGACAUGAAGUCUAUGGAUUCCAAGAGCAACGCGGUCAUUGUCUGGAGCAACCAAAACGGUUUCAACUGUAAAGACGCCUUCAAAGAGGAGGCCUCCCACCCCAGCUCAGACGUUCCCUGCGAUGCCAAGUUGAUAGAGAAAAGCUUUGAAACAGAUAUGAACCUAAACUUCCAAAACCUGUCAGUGAUGGGACUCCGCAUCCUCCUCCUGAAAGUGGCCGGAUUUAACCUGCUCAUGACGCUGCGGCUGUGGUCCAGCUGAGGCUGGCAAGACUGAAGGAGGCUGGACUCCCGAGACCCUUCCUCUUCACCACCCCUCAUUUCCCUCUUCAAGCAAAAAGGAGCCCUCCCACCUCAUAAAGAAGGCCAACUGGAUCUCCUGAACCUGUGCCGGAGAUUGCUGACGAGCUGCUACGCGCACCCAGGCUGCUCCCUUAUGCUGCUGGCCAUUCACAGGAAGCUGCGACUCCCCCUGGAUAUGCAGACCUACCCCCAAUCUCACCAUCACCUCCCACCCCACCCCACCCCCUGUAGAUUCCCAGUAGAAUCUCUUGGACUGCAGCUCCUGGAGAAUGUUGUAAAGAACAUGCUUUUGGUUUGCUUUUUAAAAUCACACAUCACUCUUUCCUCAAGAUGUAGAAAACGCUAUCUCAUUGUCUAGCCCCUCCCUGCUACUGUGUGUAUCUGAGCCCUGUUGUAUAUGGUCCUGCUGUCCAUGACUUCAUUAAAGACAACUCAGAAGAGAAA